GUUGGUGGGGUAAAGGCUCACCAAGGCGACGAUCAGUAGCCGGCCUGAGAGGGCGACCGGCCACAUUGGGACUGAGACACGGCCCAGACUCCUACGGAAGGCAGCAG
rnacentral:rRNA from 1 species